CUGGUUGAUCCUGCCAGUAGUCAUAUGCUUGUCUCAAAGCUUAAGCCAUGCAAGUCUCAGUACGAACUGUGCUAAAGUGAAACCGCAAAAGGCUCAGUAAACCGGUCAUAGUUUACCGGAUAUGUGCCAGUCACUUGGACAACUGUGGUAAUUCUAGAGCUAAUACAUGCAAACAAG
rnacentral:rRNA from 1 species